UAACUAUAACGGGCCUAAGGUAGCAAAUUUCCUUGUCGUCUUAAUAACGACCUGCAUGAAACAUAGAACGAUUUGAUAGCUGUCUUGCACACACAUCAUGGUAAAAUAUUCAUCAGUACAAAUAAUAUGCUGCUGACACUAAAGGACAAAAAGACCCUUUGAAGCUUUAUAGGGAUAAAACUCAGCUUUAAAUCAACAAACAAUGAAAUCCAUCUUGUUGCUUCUCCGCUUUUUAAAUUGCUAAAGCCUUACAAGAUUUACAACAUCAAGACCACUGUUUAAUUGGGGCGAUAAAAAGGUACGUGAGCUGGGUUCAAUACG
rnacentral:rRNA from 1 species